rnacentral:rRNA from 1 species
UACGUAGGCAGCGAGCGUUGUUCGGAAUUACUGGGCGUAAAGAGUGUGUAGGCGGUGCUCUAAGUUCGGUGUGAAAUCUCCCGGCUUAACUGGGAGGGUGCGCCGGAAACUGGAGUGCUCGAGCGUGGGAGAGGAAAGCGGAAUUCCUGGUGUAGCGGUGAAAUGCGUAGAUAUCAGGAGGAACACCUGCGGUGUAGACGGCUUUCUGGACCAUUGCUGAGGCUGAGACACGAAAGCGUGGGUAGCAAACAGG